rnacentral:tRNA from 1 species
GUCAGGAUGGGCCGAGUGGUCUAAGCGCCAGACUCAAGGGUGGUUACCUUCUCUCGAAACCAGUGAGAGUCUAUUGGGUGUUCUGGUCUCUGCAUAGAGGCGUGGGUUCGAACCCCACUCCUGACA